AGCGGAGGAAAAGAAACCAACCGGGAUUGCCUCAGUAACGGCGAGUGAAGCGGCAAGAGCUCAAAUUUGAAAGCUGGCUCCUUCGGGGUCCGCAUUGUAAUUUGCAGAGGAUGCUUCGGGUGCGGCCCCUGUCUAAGUGCCCUGGAACGGGCCGUCAGAGAGGGUGAGAAUCCCGUCUGGGAUGGGGUGUCCGCGCCCGUGUGAAGCUCCUUCGACGAGUCGAGUUGUUUGGGAAUGCAGCUCUAAAUGGGUGGUAAAUUUCAUCUAAAGCUAAAUACUGGCCGGAGACCGAUAGCGCACAAGUAGAGUGAUCGAAAGAUGAAAAGCACUUUGAAAAGAGAGUUAAAAAGCACGUGAAAUUGUUGAAAGGGAAGCGCUUGCGACCAGACUCGCCUCCAGGGUUCAGCCGGCAUUCGUGCCGGUGUACUUCCCUGGGGGCGGGCCAGCGUCGGUUUGGGCGGCCGGUCAAAGGCUCCCGGAAUGUAGUGCCCUCCGGGGCACCUUAUAGCCGGGAGUGCAAUGCGGCCAGCCUGGACCGAGGAACGCGCUUCGGCACGGACGCUGGCAUAAUGGUCGUAAACGACCCGUCUU
rnacentral:rRNA from 1 species